rnacentral:rRNA from 1 species
UACGGAGGGUGCGAGCGUUGUCCGGAAUCAUUGGGCGUAAAGGGCGCGUAGGUGGCGGGACAAGCGUGCGGUGAAAGCCUGGGGCUCAACCCCGGGUCGGCCGUGCGAACUGUUUUGCUUGAGCACUGUAGAGGCAGGCGGAAUUCCGGGUGUAGCGGUGGAAUGCGUAGAGAUCCGGAAGAACACCGGUGGCGAAGGCGGCCUGCUGGGCAGUAGCUGACACUGAGGCGCGAAAGCGUGGGGAGCGAACCGGG